rnacentral:rRNA from 1 species
AAGGGAGCCAGCAGCCGCGGUAAUACGGGAGCCAGCAGCCGCGGUAAUACGGGAGCCAGCAGCCGCGGUAAUACUGGAGCCAG